rnacentral:rRNA from 1 species
GACGAACGCUGGCGGCGUGCUUAACACAUGCAAGUCGAGCGGUAAGGCCCUUUCGGGGGUACACGAGCGGCGAACGGGUGAGUAACACGUGGGUGACCUGCCCUCAGCUCUGGGAUAAGCCUGGGAAACCGGGUCUAAUACUGGAUAUGACUCCAUGACGCAUGUUGUGGGGUGGAAAGCCUUGUGCGGCUGAGGAUGGGCCCGCGGCCUAUCAGCUUGUUGGUGGGGGAUGGCCUACCAAGGCGACGACGGGUAGCCGGCCUGAGAGGGCGACCGGCCACACUGGGACUGAGACACGGCCCAGACUCCUACGGGAGGCAGCAGUGGGGAAUCUUGCGCAAUGGGCGAAAGCCUGACGCAGCGACGCCG